rnacentral:rRNA from 1 species
UUAUAGGCGCGAAUUUGGACCGAAGUGGCAUGGUUCCCGGCGCCAUGGCGGCCGCGGGAAUUUCGAUUUUAAGGCCAUGCGAGUCAAAUGUUCUUCGCGAAACAAUGGCGUACUGCUCAGUAACACGUGGACGACCUGCCCUAAGGUCUGGCAUAACUCCGGGAAACUGGGGAUAAUUCCAGAUGAACCAUAGAUACUGGAAUGUGCUGUGGUUAAAAGCUCCGGCGCCUUAGGAUGGAUCUGCGGCCUAUCAGGUAGUAGUGGGUGUAAUGUACCUACUAGCGUACGACGGGUACGGGUUGUGAGAGCAAGAGCCCGGAGAUGGAUUCUGAGACAUGAAUCCAGGCCCUACGGGGCGCAGCAGGCGCGAAAACUUUACAAUGCGGGAAACCGCGAUAAGGGGACACUGAGUGCCAGUACCAUGUACUGGCUGUCCGCAUGUAUAAAUCACAUGUGUCAGCAAGGGCCGGGCAAGACCGGUGCCAGCCGCCGCGGUAACACCGGCGGCCCGAGUGGUGGCCAUUAUUAUUGGGUCUAAAGGGUCCGUAGCCGGUUUGAUCAGUCUUCCGGGAAAUCUGACAGCUCAACUGUUAGGCUUCUGGGGGAUACUGUCAGACUUGGAACCGGGAGAGAUAAGAGGUACUACAGGGGUAGGAGUGAAAUCUUGUAAUCCUUGUGGGACCACCAGUGGCGAAGGCGUCUUACCAGAACGGGUUCGACGGUGAGGGAUGAAAGCUGGGGGCACGAACCGGAUUAGAUACCCGGGUAGUCCCAGCCGUAAACGAUGCUCGCUAGGUGUCUGGGAUGGUGCGACCGUUUCAGGUGCCGCAGGGAAGCCGUGAAGCGAGCCACCUGGGAAGUACGGCCGCAAGGCUGAAACUUAAAGGAAUUGGCGGGGGAGCACUACAACGGGUGGAGCCUGCGGCUUAAUUGGACUCUACGCCGGAAAACUCACCUGGGGCGACAGCAAUAUGUAGGUCAUCGAAGUCAAAGUC